rnacentral:rRNA from 1 species
UGGUAGUGUUAAUAGCACUAUCA